CCUACGGGGGGCAGCAGUGGGGAAUAUUGCACAAUGGGGGAAAGCCUGAUGCAGCGACGCCGCGUGAGUGAUGAAGUACUUCGGUAUGUAAAGCUCUAUUAGCAGGGAAGAAAAUGACGGUACCUGAGUAAGAAGCUCAGGACAACUACGUGCCAGCAGCCGCGGCAACACGUAGGAGGCAAGCGUUAUCCGGAUUUACUGGGUGUAAAGGGAGCGUAGACGGUAUGGCAAGUCUGGAGUGAAAGGCGGGGGCUCAACCCCCGGACUGCUCUGGAAACGGUACGGCUGGAGUGCAGGAGAGGUAAGUGGAAUUCCUGGUGUAGCGGUGAAAUGCGUAGAUAUCAGGAAGAACACCAGUGGCGAAGGCAGCUUACUGGACUGUAACUGACGUUGAGGCUCGAAAGCGUGGGGAGCAAACAGGAUUAGAUACCCCAGUAGUC
rnacentral:rRNA from 1 species